AUUACCAAGGUUUUAUGCAACAAGCUGAAGUUCAGUCAAUUGAAUUCUGAGCCUUGUGUUUUCUCGAAGUCUGAAAAUGGAUUGAUGAUGAUCAUUGCAUUGUAUGUGGACGAUCUAAUUGUAUUUUCAUCUCCAGGUUUUCCAGACAGGGAUAAUAUAAAGAAAGGAUUGCAGGAUGAAUUCGAAAUCACUGAUCUAGGGCCAGCUCAACACAUACUUGGGAUGAAGUUGAUGAGGAAAGAUGAUAAAAUUUACCUCACUCAGUCAAACUAUAUACAGAAGGUAUUGAAGAAGUUUCGAAUGGAGGACUGUAAACCUAUUGCAACACCCAUGGAAACGGGACUGAAACUUUGCAAGGAACCUAAAGAUGAGACCUACGACUACAGAGGUUUAAUUGGUUCACUGAUGUAUGUGGCAGUUUGCACGAGACCUGAUAUAAGUCAUGCCGUCGGGCAUGGAUAUUUCAGCUUAUGCUGAUGCUGACUGGGCGUCAGACAACAUGGACCGCAAGUCAUACACAGGCUUUGUGUUUACUAUUGGUAAGUCAGUCGUUACUUGGGAGAGUCGCAAGCAACGUACUGUUGCCUUGUCCAGUACUGAGGCGGAGUACAUGGCGUUGUCUGACACAUGUAAGGAAGCUCUAUUUAUUAGAAAGUUUAUAUGUGAGAUUUUUGGUACCAUGCCUAGAAUAACAAUUUACAAUGACAAUCAAUCUGCUAUAAAACUAUGUAAAAACUAUAUGUUUCAUUCUAGAACUAAGCAUAUUGAUAUUCGUCAUCAUUUUAUUAAAGAAAUUGUAAACAAAGGAAUAGUUGAAAUUAAAUAUUUGUCAACUGUUGUUAUGUUAGCUGAUGUGUUAACUAAAGCACUAUGUAAAGAGAAACACAAUAAGUUUGUGUGUCAAUUGCUAACUUUAAUUUAAGUUACUUAAUGCUAACAAUUGAAUUAAAGCUAAUUGUAACUUAAGUUUUUUUAAAAAUGUUAACUUUAUAUUUGUGUUGUGUUUCUUUAGUGUUAAGUGUUUUAUAAAUGUAUUUAUUGUAAGUUUAGCUUGCGUUUAAGGGCCAGUGUUGGAAAGUUAGAAACUUUUUGGUUAAACGCAAGCAUAUUUGAAUAUUUGAAUUUGGCACUCCGCUGUCAAUGUAAGGUUUCCAGACUUCUGGAUCAAACACUCGAUCUCAUGUAGUCUCUGUGUGCUGUAUGUUCUAAAAUAAAUCCGUGGUAAUCUU